UACGAAGGGGGCUAGCGUUGCUCGGAAUCACUGGGCGUAAAGCGCACGUAGGCGGAUCUUUAAGUCAGGGGUGAAAUCCCAAGGCUCAACCUUGGAACUGCCUUUGAUACUGGGGAUCUCGAGUCCGGAAGAGGUGAGUGGAACUGCGAGUGUAGAGGUGAAAUUCGUAGAUAUUCGCAAGAACACCAGUGGCGAAGGCGGCUCACUGGUCCGAUACUGACGCUGAGGCGCGAAAGCGUGGGAGCAAACAGG
rnacentral:rRNA from 1 species